CAGUAGCCGCGGGAACACGUAGGUGGCAAGCGUUAUCCGGAAUUAUUGGGCGUAAAGCGCGCGUAGGCGGUUUUUUAAGUCUGAUGUGAAAGCCCACGGCUCAACCGUGGAGGGUCAUUGGAAACUGGAAAACUUGAGUGCAGAAGAGGAAGGUGGAAUUCCAUGUGUAGCGGUGAAAUGCGCAGAGAUAUGGAGGAACACCAGUGGCGAAGGCGACUUUCUGGUCUGUAACUGACGCUGAUGUGCGAAAGCGUGGGGAUCAAACAGGAUUAGAGACCCGUGUAGUCCCUGUCUCUUAUAC
rnacentral:rRNA from 1 species